ensembl:miRNA Gm26377 predicted gene, 26377
AGACUGGUUAAUGAUAACAAUGCACCGUAAAACCUUCAGAAGGAAAGGAUGUUAUGUGGACCUUUGUGUGUGUGGCAGUUUUAAGUUAUUAGUUUUCA